GACGAACGCUGGCGGCGUGCUUAACACAUGCAAGUCGAACGGAAAGGCCCUGCUUUUGUGGGGUGCUCGAGUGGCGAACGGGUGAGUAACACGUGAGUAACCUGCCCUCGACUUUGGGAUAACUUCAGGAAACUGGGGCUAAUAUCGGACAGGAGCUCCUGCUGCAUGGUGGGGGUUGGAAAGUUUCGGCGGUUGGGGAUGGACUCGCGGCUUAUCAGCUUGUUGGUGGGGUAGUGGCUUACCAAGGCUUUGACGGGUAGCCGGCCUGGGAGGGUGACCGGCCACAUUGGGACUGAGAUACGGCCCAGUCUCCUACGGGAGGCAGCAGUGGGGAAUAUUGCACAAUGGGCGGAAGCCUGAUGCAGCAACGCCGCGUGCGGGAUGACGGCCUUCGGGGUGUAAACCGCUUUCGCCUGUGACGAAGCGUGAGUGACGGUAAUGGGUAAAGAAGCACCGGCUAACUACGUG
rnacentral:rRNA from 1 species